CUGCAAGAGGCUAUAAAAGUCGAGGUAUGAUUGUAGUAGAAUUUCAUGAUGGACGAUGGGUCGGUGCCUGCUCUGCUGCUACUCAGAGGGGGAACCAAGGAGCUGAGAAUGUGGACAUGCAAGGCUGUGAUGGGGAAGUGUCAUCUCAGGGAAAAAAUUGUCCUAACCAAAGGAUAGAGGGCCUGUGGCUUGAUGUUUGGGAUGUCACAUCUGUUGGAUGUCCUCCACAGCCUUGAGGAAGACGGAGCGCUGGCUCAAACUGUACUCAUCCCCUGCUCCAAGCUGGGCAUAUCCUGAGGGAUGGAACAACCUUCAUUUCAAACAUGACACAUCACACCCCAAACCAGCUGUGGGGAAACUGGUUUGACUGUCCUGUCAAGCCUACUGAGGACGUUAAGGCAAGACAGAAAACUGUGCAGGGGGCCCAAAUGUGGACAUGGAUCAUGCUAGAGUACAGGCACCAGAACUGGCCUCCUCCCUGUACACUGAAGAACUGGAAGCCCUGACCCCAACAUCUUCAAGAGAAUAACCAGAUAGCUUUAAAGUUGUAGUGACUUUAUUACAAUAAAAUACAUUUAAGUGUGCAGA